UUUCCGUAGGUGAACCUGCGGAAGGAUCAUUCAUAAUAAAGUGUUAUAUGGCACUUUUUAAAAAUCCAUAUCCACCUUGUGUGCAAUGUUAGAUCUCGUCAAUCUUGGCGAGAUUUUUAUACAUCAACUCAUUUUUUAACUAAUUUGUCUGAAAAAUAUUAUGAAUACUUAAUUCAAAAUACAACUUUCAACAACGGAUCUCUUGGCUCUC
rnacentral:misc_RNA from 1 species